AUUGAACGCUGGCGGCAUGCCUUACACAUGCAAGUCGAACGGCAGCACGGGUGCUUGCACCUGGUGGCGAGUGGCGAACGGGUGAGUAAUACAUCGGAACGUACCUUAUCGUGGGGGCUAACGCAGCGAAAGCUGUGCUAAUACCGCAUACGCACUGCGGGGGAAAGCGGGGGAACGCAAGACCUCGCGCGAUUAGAGCGGCCGAUCCCUGAUUAGCUAGUUGGUAGGGUAAAAGCCACCAAGGCGACGAUCAGUAGCUGGUCUGAGAGGACGAUCAGCCACACUGGGACUGAGACACGGACCAGACUCCUACGGGAGGCAGCAGUGGGGAAUUUUGGACAAUGGGGGCAACCCUGAUCCAGCAAUGCCGCGUGAGUGAAGAAGGCCUUCGGGUUGUAAAGCUCUUUUGUCAGGGAAGAAACACCCGCUCUAACACAGUCCGGGAAUGACGGUACCUGAAGAAUAAGCACCGGCUAACUACGUGCCAGCAGCCGCGGUAA
rnacentral:rRNA from 1 species